rnacentral:rRNA from 1 species
UACGUAGGGUGCAAGCGUUGUCCGGAAUUAUUGGGCGUAAAGAGCUCGUAGGCGGUUUGUCGCGUCUGCUGUGAAAAUCCAGGGCUUAACCCUGGACCUGCAGUGGGUACGGGCAGACUGGAGUGCGGUAGGGGAGAUCGGAAUUCCUGGUGUAGCGGUGAAAUGCGCAGAUAUCAGGAGGAACACCGGUGGCGAAGGCGGAUCUCUGGGCCGUAACUGACGCUGAGGAGCGAAAGCAUGGGGAGCGAA